AUAUGUGAAGCAAACUAUUGCAACCAGUUUCGACCUGGUCCCAGAUAAACCCAUGUUUAUACCCAUAUA
rnacentral:tRNA from 1 species